rnacentral:rRNA from 1 species
UACGAAGGGGGGCUAGCGUUGCUCGGAAUCACUGGGCGUAAAGGGUGCGUAGGCGGGUCUUUAAGUCAGGGGUGAAAUCCUGGAGCUCAACUCCCAGAACUGCCUUUGAUACUGAAGAUCUUGAGUUCGGGAGAGGUGAGUGGAACUGCGAGUGUAGAGGUGAAAUUCGUAGAUAUUCGCAAGAACACCAGUGGCGAAGGCGGCUCACUGGCCCGGUACUGACGCUGAGGUGCGAAAGCGUGGGGGAGCGAACAGG